AACGAACGCUGGCGGCGUGCCUAACACAUGCAAGUCGAACGAGAAAGUCCCCGCAAGGGGAUAAGUAAAGUGGCGAACGGGUGAGUAACACGUAGGUAAUCUGCCCUCCAGCCCGGAAUAACUCUGCGAAAGCGGGGCUAAUACCGGAUGAAAUCCUCAGGGCGCAUGUCCGGAGGAUCGAAGGUGGCCUCUGAUUCAAGCUGUCACUGGAGGAUGAGCCUGCGUCUGAUUAGCUUGUUGGUGGGGUAAUGGCCUACCAAGGCAAUGAUCAGUAGCCGACCUGAGAGGGUGAUCGGCCACACUGGAACUGAGACACGGUCCAGACUCCUACGGGAGGCAG
rnacentral:rRNA from 1 species